rnacentral:rRNA from 1 species
UUUUCCUACGGGGGGCAGCAGUGGGGAAUAUUGGGCAAUGGGCGCAAGCCUGACCCAGCAACGCCGCGUGAAGGAAGAAGGCUUUCGGGUUGUAAACUUCUUUUCUCAGGGACGAAGAAAGUGACGGUACCUGAGAAAUAAGCCACGGCUAACUACGUGCCAGCAGCCGCGGUAAUACGUAGGUGGCAAGCGUUAUCCGGAUUUACUGGGUGUAAAGGGCGAGUAGGCGGGGAAGCAAGGCAGAUGUGAAAACCACGGACGCAACC